rnacentral:rRNA from 1 species
GAUGAACGCUGGCGGCGUGCCUAAUACAUGCAAGUCGAGCGGACCAAAGAGAGCUUGCUCUCUGAGGUUAGCGGCGGACGGGUGAGUAACACGUGGGUAACCUGCCUGUAAGACGGGGAUAACUUCGGGAAACCGAAGCUAAUACCGGAUGAUAAAGAGAAACGCCUGUUUCUUUUUUGAAAGUCGGCCUUGUGCUGACGCUUACAGAUGGGCCCGCGGCGCAUUAGCUAGUUGGUGAGGUAACGGCUCACAAAGGCGACGAUGCGUAGCCGACCUGAGAGGGUGAUCGGCCACACUGGGACUGAGACACGGCCCAGACUCCUACGGGAGGCAGCAGUAGGGAAUCUUCGGCAAUGGACGAAAGUCUGACCGAGCAACGCCGCGUGAGCGAUGAAGGCCUUCGGGUCGUAAAGCUCUGUUGUCAGAGAAGAACAAGUACCGGAGUAACUGCCGGUACCUUGACGGUACCUGACCAGAAAGCCACGGCUAACUACGUGCCAGCAGCCGCAGUAAUAC